rnacentral:rRNA from 1 species
UCGAGAAUCUUCGGCAAUGGACGAAAGUCUGACCGAGCGAUGCCGCGUGCGGGAUGAAGGCCUUCGGGUUGUAAACCGCUGUCAGUUGGGAGGAAGGCUCCGUGAAGAGCGGAGUUUGACCUAUCUUCAGAGGAAGUCCGGGCUAAGUUCGUGCGAGCAGCCGCGGUAACACGAACGGGACAAACGUUAUAGGGAAUUAUUGGGCUUAAAGGGUGCGUAGGCGGCGUAGUAAGUGAGGUGUGAAAGCCCACGGCUCAACCGAGGAAUUGCGCUUCAUACUGCUAUGCUAGAGGGAGACAGAGGUAAGCGGAACUGAUGGUGGAGCGGUGAAAUGCGUUGAUAUCAUCAGGAACACCAGUGGCGAAAGCGGCUUACUGGGUCUCUUCUGACGCUGAGGCACGAAAGCGAGGGUAGCGAACGGGAUUAGAUACCCCUGUAGUCC